AUUGAACGCUGGCGGCAGGCCUAACACAUGCAAGUCGAACGAGCGGCGGCCGGGUGAGUCAUGUCUGGGAAACUGCCCGAUGGAGGGGGAUAACUACUGGAAACGGUAGCUAAUACCGCAUACCAUCGGAUCUCUCCAUAUGUGAUUAGCUAGUAGGUGGGGUAAAGGCUCACCUAGGCGACGAUCCCUAGCUGGGCUGAGAGGAUGACCAGCCACAAUGGAACUGAGAAACGGUCCAGACUCCUACGGGAGGAAGAAGGGGGGAAUAUGGCACAAUGGGGGCAAGCCUGAGGCAGACAUGCCGGGUGUAUGAAGAAGGCCUUAGGGUUGUAAAGUACUUUCAGCGAGGAGGCGUUACUCGCAGAAGAAGCACCGGCUAACUCCGUGCCAGCCGCCGCGGUAAUAC
rnacentral:rRNA from 1 species